UACAGAGGGUGCGAGCGUUAAUCGGAAUUACUGGGCGUAAAGCGUGCGUAGACGGCUAUCUAAGUCGGGUGUGAAAGCCCCGGGCUCAACCUGGGAAUUGCAUUCGAGACUGAAUAGCUAGGGUGCGGUAGAGGGAAGCGGAAUUUCCGGUGUAGCGGUGAAAUGCGUAGAUAUGCGGAGGAACACCGAUGGCGAAGGCAAUCCCCUGGACCUGUACUGACGCUCAUGCACGAAAGCGUGGGGAGCAAACAGG
rnacentral:rRNA from 1 species